rnacentral:rRNA from 1 species
UACGUAGGGAGCUAGCGUUGUCCGGAAUCAUUGGGCGUAAAGCGCGCGUAGGCGGCCCGGUAAGUCCGCUGUGAAAGUCAAAGGCUCAACCUUUGAAUGUCAGCGGAUACUGCCGGGCUAGAGUCCGGAAGAGGCGAGUGGAAUUCCCGGUGUAGCGGUGAAAUGCGCAGAUAUCGGGAGGAACACCUAUGGCGAAGGCAGCUCGCUGGGACGUUACUGACGCUGAGACGCGAAAGCGUGGGGAGCAAACAGG